rnacentral:misc_RNA from 1 species
GAUGAAGAACGCAGCGAAAUGCGAUAACUAAUGUGAAUUGCAGAAUUCAGUGAAUCAUCGAAUCUUUGAACGCACAUUGCGCCCCUUGGUAUUCCGAGGGGCAUGCCUGUUCGAGCGUCAUUAUAACCCUCAAGCUCAGCUUGGUGUUGGGGCCUGCUGCACUGGCAGCCCUUAAAAUCAGUGGCGGCGCCAUCUGGCUCUAAGCGUAGUAAUUCUUCUCGCUAUGGAGUCCUGGUGGAUGCUUGCCAUCAACCCCCAAUUUUUCUAUGGUUGACCUCGGAUCAGGCAGGGAUACCCGCUGAACUUAAGCAUAUCAAUAAGCGGAGGA